AACAAAAAGGGGGAGAAGUAAAGAAAGAGUAAUAGGGGAGAAGUAAAGAUAGAGUAAUAAGAGGAGAAGUAAAGAUAGAGUAAAUAGAGUAACAAAAAGGGGGAGAAGUAAAGAAAGAGUAAUAGGGGGAGAAGUAAAGAAAGAGUAAUAAGAGGAGAAGUAAAGAAAGAAAGAGAAAUAAUUUGUAAAACAAAUUAAAAAUUAUAUAGGAAAGCAUAUACAUCCAAGGGGGAGCAAUUUGCAACAAUGAAAAUGAUCAACUCAAAAAUUUAUAUCAAAUUUCAGAAUUUGGCACAUAUAAUUUCAGAAUUUGGCACGCACCUUUCACACCUCGAUACAUAACCUGAAACUCAUGUUUUAUCUCAAAUUUUUGGAGUUUCAUCUUUAAUGAAUUAUAAAUGAAAGGGGGAGUAAUUCAAAAAGUCAAAUUGGCAACAUUUAAAUGAUAUAGGGAGAGACUUCACUAUUAUAUAUGAAAAGCUGAAAUUCAGCAAGUUAAG
rnacentral:lncRNA from 1 species